rnacentral:tRNA from 1 species
GCCUGGAUGGCUCAGUCGGUGGAGCAUGUGACUCUUGAUCUCAGGGUUGUGGGUUCCAACCCCACGUUGGGUG